rnacentral:rRNA from 1 species
GACGAACGCUGGCGGCGUGCUUAACACAUGCAAGUCGAACGGAAAGGCCCUGCUUUUGUGGGGUGCUCGAGUGGCGAACGGGUGAGUAACACGUGAGUAACCUGCCCUUGACUUUGGGAUAACUUCAGGAAACUGGGGCUAAUACCGGAUAGGAGCUCCUGCUGCAUGGUGGGGGUUGGAAAGUUUCGGCGGUUGGGGAUGGACUCGCGGCUUAUCAGCUUGUUGGUGGGGUAGUGGCUUACCAAGGCUUUGACGGGUAGCCGGCCUGAGAGGGUGACCGGCCACAUUGGGACUGAGAUACGGCGCAGACUCCUACGGGAGGCAGCAGUGGGGAGUAUUGCACAAUGGGCGGAAGCCUGAUGCAGCAACGCCGCGUGCGGGAUGACGGCCUUCGGGUUGUAAACCGCUUUCGCCUGUGACGAAGCGUGAGUGACGGUAAUGGGUAAAGAAGCACCGGCUAACUACGUG